ensembl:lncRNA
GUUCAAAAUAGAUCACACCUCUUAAGAAUUGAAACCACAUCCCUUAAAGGCUGCUACUUUAUACGUUUUGGUCAUUUUGUCAGUCGGGAACCUUCCCAAGCAGAAGAGACAAUCUCAGUGUCUUUUGGGUAAAACUCUGAACCUCAAGCUGCUACGAAUGAUUAGAAUGAGAAAAACGCACAGAACCAAAUUCAUGUGGCUGUUUGUUUGUGACAACAAAGGUUUUUCCUUGUUAAGUUAUAUUCCCUUUCUGUGUUACAUAAUGUCCCUCCUGUCCCUUCUGAGUGAGAUGCUCCACCUCAUGUUACACCAUCACUGACAGGUCUUCCCGCUCAUCUCAGCCUUCUCUUCUGCUGAUGCAGCCGUUCUGAGGAGAGACGAUCAGGAGCAGCUGCUUGCUGAUCAGGAGCUGCUGGCCAAACGACCCGGCUGCUGGCGGAUGCCCGGUGGCUGCUCAAUCUUUGGAAUUCGUCGUCCACCAACUUCUCCACCGUUGAUUAAGGAAGACAUAAUAAAGAAGAUUAAAAACGAUCCAAGCAGUCUGAUAUCAGAACAGAAGUGAGACAUAAGAAGCAUGAAUCUUUUCCUCGAGAAAGCUGUUCUUUUUUGCUUUACUAUUUACCGAUUUGGUGACAAUAAUCAAUAAUUACGUGAUCAAUACCCCGUACUCCCAUACAGAAAGAAAUGACAGCAAUCCCAGAAUUGUUAGACAUUGAAACAUUUUAAUUGUUUCUCAUAUAAAUUACUUUUUUGGCAGAUUUUUUAAUCAUAAAUUACAGUGAGUUCAAAUUGUUGUUAUUUUGUUCUCUAGUUCUGUUGAAAAAAUAAAUGUUUUGUUUUCAAAAUAAAAUGUAAUGGCUACCCUCAAUCAAUCGAUUACAUUUAUAAGUACCAGGACUGAAUUAUUAGAGAAGCAAAUUAAGUGCACAUUUAUUCAGACUAGUACUUCUAAUAUUGUUGAAAAUCUGCUCAGUAAAUGUUAUAAUUCUAGAAAUUGCUUUCAAAUGUCUCCCAUUAUUAGGAUGGACCACGAUGUAAUCUUUUACUCCAAUUGUUGUUGAUCAUAAAAAAUUGUCGCAAAACAAAAUAAAGUUCUUGAAAUAAGAACACACA